rnacentral:rRNA from 1 species
CCGGUAAACGGCGGCCGUAACUAUAACGGUCCUAAGGUAGCGAAAUUCCUUGUCGGGUAAGUUCCGACCUGCACGAAUGGCGUAAUGAUGGCCAGGCUGUCUCCACCCGAGACUCAGUGAAAUUGAACUCGCUGUGAAGAUGCAGUGUACCCGCGGCAAGACGGAAAGACCCCGUGAACCUUUACUAUAGCUUGACACUGAACAUUGAGCCUUGAUGUGUAGGAUAGGUGGGAGGCUUUGAAGUGUGGACGCCAGUCUGCAUGGAGCCGACCUUGAAAUACCACCCUUUAAUGUUUGAUGUUCUAACGUUGACCCGUAAUCCGGGUUGCGGACAGUGUCUGGUGGGUAGUUUGACUGGGGCGGUCUCCUCCUAAAGAGUAACGGAGGAGCACGAAGGUUGGCUAAUCCUGGUCGGACAUCAGGAGGUUAGUGCAAUGGCAUAAGCCAGCUUGACUGCGAGCGUGACGGCGCGAGCAGGUGCGAAAGCAGGUCAUAGUGAUCCGGUGGUUCUGAAUGGAAGGGCCAUCGCUCAACGGAUAAAAGGUACUCCGGGGAUAACAGGCUGAUACCGCCCAAGAGUUCAUAUCGACGGCGGUGUUUGGCACCUCGAUGUCGGCUCAUCACAUCCUGGGGCUGAAGUAGGUCCCAAGGGUAUGGCUGUUCGCCAUUUAAAGUGGUACGCGAGCUGGGUUUAGAACGUCGUG